UGGGUCAUCUGGAGUUAAGAACUGUGUCACCGGUGUAACUACGACAGGUGAGCGACCUAGGGCCCUUUGGGCCCUCUUGUAUGUUGUGGCAAGAUGCUUCAAAUCUUAGUCAUGAGUUAUCGAUCGUUUGUAAUCAUCUUGAUAUGGGUACC
rnacentral:sRNA from 1 species